rnacentral:rRNA from 1 species
UACGGAGGGGGCAAGCGUUAUCCGGAUUCAUUGGGCUUAAAGGGUGCGUAGGUGGGCAAGUAAGUCAGCUGUGAAAUCUCCGGGCUUAACCCGGAAACUGCCAUUGAUACUAUUUGUCUUGAAUAUUGUGGAGGUCAGCGGAAUAUGUCAUGUAGCGGUGAAAUGCUUAGAUAUGACAUAGAACACCAAUUGCGAAGGCAGCUGGCUGCACAUAUAUUGACACUGAUGCACGAAAGCGUGGGGAUCAAACAGG